GGGAGGGAGGCAGAUGUGAGCUCAUGGGGGAGAAAUCCUUGGACGCCCCCCAUCUUCUUACUGUAGGUGUCUGGGAAUCUGGGGUCCUCCUCCCCAAAGGCAGGGGCUUUGGGGCCUCAGUUUCCCCAUCUGUGAAGUGGGGCCAGCUGCUCGCUGCCCGUCCCGUCCCGCUGCCUGCUGCGGAAGUGUGGGUUCAGUCUCUCGGCAAACAGUAACUGAGUGGUGAGCAGGCAUGGGCCGCGCACGUGCACCCCACAGCAGCCUCCCAGGACGGGUUUCCUCCCUGCUCACGGAGAAACCACAGCUCAGGGAGGCAUAGUGUCUUUCCCAACCUCACACAGCUCGUGAACGGCAGAGGCAGUGUCAGUGAAACAGGGUUUAUUUGGUGCCAAGUCUAUGCUUUGAAUGCCCUCACUUUGGCCCAGUGACAGCCGUCAAUCACGCUGUGAUUGCUGGGGAGCGGCUCAGAGCAAGUGUCGGGGCAGGGAGUGGCCCCACGUCGUGGUCUCCGUGGGGUCUCUCACGGUUCGGCACACCUGCCCCAGCAGUGCAGGUGCAGAGGAGGGAGGGGCACGCGCUCCACAGCCUUUCCCUGAGAUGAUGGGGACUGCUUUCCGGGAGUCGCUUGGGGCUCCAUUGGCCUCCAGACUCCCCCAGGGAGGCCCGGGCUCGCGGAGGGGGCAGUGCACAAGCCCCACCCCCCAGCCUCUGCACACACAAAGCUCUGGAGCUCCCUCUGGAAUCCGGCUGGGACUCAACAUCCCUGCUGCCCCACGCUUUUUGCAAAAAUGUUCUCUCGUGUCCUGAGCAGCAGCCAGGCCCACAGGGGGAGGCUGAGAUAAGGAGGUCCCGUCCUUGAGCGACCGCACCUCCUCCCCUCUGCCGAGGGGGCGGCCAGGAGCAGGGGGCUCUGCUGCAGUGCCUUUGUGCAGCAGCCGCGGCGCUGACGGAGGAGCUGGCUGGCUGCCUUCGCUCGAGGCUUCCCCGAGUGGCCGCCUGGGUACCCAGGGAUGUAUCGGCCCAUCGAGGCACUGCUGAGCGGAUCUGCUGCCCCCUCGUCCUCUCCCUGGCCCCGCUGACAUAGGGAUGGUGUAAAUUCAGCCAAACGGCUGCUCUGGCCUUCUGCCCUGCAGUGUCCAGGGCCUGAGCCAGGGAGCCCGGCUGUGGCCAUCACGAGACGAGCGCUGUCCUGGGGCUCUCGCCUCUCCUGGCCACAU
rnacentral:lncRNA from 1 species